AGACGCCCUGGGUGGGAGGGUGGACCCUGCGGCGCGGGGCCGGGCCUGUCUCCAGCGUAACGACCUGAGGCCAGGCUGGCGGCCUAGGCCCCGAGCCUCCGGACCCCGCUUGGGGCCCUGGGCCCGACUCUGGUCCUCCGCCCCGGCUUCAGAGCGAGCAGGGUCUCGGUAGGCGCGGGCGCCAAGUUCGCCGGCCUACCGGGCCUCUAGGCCAGCGCCAUUUUCUGGCACUUGUGGCUGGAUCUGUUUUCGCCAUGACUCCGCCCCAGAGCCGCCCGGGAGCCGGCCUGCACCCCCCAACCCCCACGAGGGCUGCCUGACUGCGGGGAAAGCCACAGAGUGAAACCUUCUUCACCCGCUGCCUCCAGAGCCAGGCCUGGGAGUCACAUUCGGGAGAAUCUCAGCUAAGAAAUCUGCUCCUGAUCGCCGCUUCCGCGACUCGAGGAAAUGAAACGCCAUUAAUAUUUGAAAAGGCAAUUAUUUUCCUGUUGAAUCGAAAACUGUCUUCAUGAAUAAUUUGUAGAGAGUUCUAUUGCCAUUUGAGAAACAUUUUGUUGCUGCUUUGCCUCCUCCUUUUCUUCCCAUUACUUAGGAGAUUUGAGGGAGACACCGGAACAGGGGAGGCUCUAUGGUUUUUGUUUUGUUUCUUUUUUUCCUUUUCUUUCUUUCUUUCUUUCUUUCUUUCUUUCUUUCUUUCUUUCUUUCUUUCUUUCUUUUUUUAAACCCAAUCUGUAAUGAAUUAGAACAGAGACCGAAAAGAACGCGCAGAAUUCUGCCUUGAGUCCAAGCAAACCUGAGAGCCAGCCAGGCACACUUUUGCUUCUCUGAUGUAGGUCGAUUACGCUAAGAAUUUAACCAUUUUCUGCUUCACAGACUUCAAACAGUGGGCCGGCAAAGAGCAGUAUAAGUUUGUUUGCUUCAAAAUCCCUGUCAUUAAAGAUGAGUUCUUU